rnacentral:sRNA from 1 species
UACCCUGCGGGAUGAGGUGAUACCAGGC